UACAGAGGUCUCAAGCGUUGUUCGGAUUCAUUGGGCGUAAAGGGUGCGUAGGCGGCGUGGUAAGUCGGGUGUGAAAUCUCGGAGCUUAACUCCGAAACUGCAUUCGAUACUGCCGUGCUUGAGGACUGGAGAGGAGACUGGAAUUUACGGUGUAGCGGUGAAAUGCGUAGAUAUCGUAAGGAAGACCAGUGGCGAAGGCGGGUCUCUGGACAGUUCCUGACGCUGAGGUGCGAAAGCCAGGGGAGCAAACAGG
rnacentral:rRNA from 1 species